rnacentral:rRNA from 1 species
UUGUUGGUAAGGUAAAAGCUUACCAAGGCUUCGAUCAGUAGCUGGUCUGAGAGGACGACCAGCCACACUGGGACUGAGACACGGCCCAGACUCCUACGGGAGGCAGCAGUGGGGAAUUUUGGACAAUGGGGGCAACCCUGAUCCAGCCAUGCCGCGUGAGUGAAGAAGGCCUUCGGGUUGUAAAGCUCUUUCAGCCGGAACGAAACGGUUACGGUUAAUACCCGUGACUACUGACGGUACCGGAAGAAGAGGCACCGGCUAACUACGUGCCAGCAGCCGCGGUAAUACGUAGGGUGCGAGCGUUAAUCGGAAUUACUGGGCGUAAAGCGUGCGCAGGUGGUUUUGUAAGUCAGAUGUGAAAGCCCCGGGCUCAACCUGGGAACUGCGUUUGAAACUACAAGACUAGAGUGUGGCAGAGGGGGGUGGAAUUCCGCGUGUAGCAGUGAAAUGCGUAGAGAUGUGGAGGAACACCGAUGGCGAAGGCAGCCCCCUGGGUCAACACUGACGCUCAGGCACGAAAGCAUGGGGAGCAAACAGGAUUAGAUACCCUGGUAGUCCAUGCCCUAAACGAUGUCAACUAGUUGUCGGGCCUUUACGGGCUUGGUAACGUAGCUAACGCGUGAAGUUGACCGCCUGGGGAGUACGAUCGCAAGAUUAAAACUCAAAUGAAUUGACGGGGACCCGCACAAGCGGUGGAUUAUGUGGAUUAAUUCGAUGCAACGCGAAAAACCUUACCUACCCUUGACAUGUAUCGAAGCCCGCAGAAAAGCGGGGGUGCCCGAAAGGGAACGAUAACACAGGUGCUGCAUGGCUGUCGUCAGCUCGUGUCGUGAGAUGUUGGGUUAAGUCCCGCAACGAGCGCAACCCUUGUCAUUAAUUGCCAUCAUUUAGUUGGGCACUUUAAUGAGACUGCCGG